rnacentral:rRNA from 1 species
CCUACGGGAGGCAGCAGUGGGGGAUAUUGCACAAUGGGGGGAACCCUGAUGCAGCGACGCCGCGUGAGUGAAGAAGCGCUUCGGUAUGUAAAGCUCUGUCAGCAGGGAAGAAAAUGACGGUACCUGAGUCAGAAGCCCCGGCUAACUACGUGCCAGCAGCCGCGGUAAUACGUAGGGGGCAAGCGUUAUCCGGAUUUACGGGGUGUAAAGGGGGCGUAGACGGCAGUGCAAGUCUGGAGUGAAAGGCGGGGGCCCAACCCCCGGACUGCUCUUGAAACUGUGUGGCUGGAGUGCAGGAGGGGCAGGAGGAAUUCCUGGUGUAGCGGUGAAAUGCGUAGAUAUUAGGAGGAACACCGGUGGCGAAGGCGGCUUACUGGACUGCAACUGACGUUGAGGCCCGAAAGCGUGGGGAGCAAACAGGAUUAGAUACCCGUGUAGUC